rnacentral:rRNA from 2 species
GAUUCGUCACACUAUCAUUAACUGAAUCCAUAGGUUAAUGAGGCGAACCGGGGGAACUGAAACAUCUAAGUACCCCGAGGAAAAGAAAUCAACCGAGAUUCCCCCAGUAGCGGCGAGCGAACGGGGAGGAGCCCAGAGCCUGAAUCAGCAUGUGUGUUAGUGGAAGCGUCUGGAAAGGCGCGCGAUACAGGGUGACAGCCCCGUACACAAAAGCGCAUGUGCUGUGAGCUCGAUGAGUAGGGCGGGACACGUGGUAUCCUGUCUGAAUAUGGGGGGACCAUCCUCCAAGGCUAAAUACUCCUGACUGACCGAUAGUGAACCAGUACCGUGAGGGAAAGGCGAAAAGAACCC